UUUGUCCAAUUACAAUUUUUCCCAUGUGAACCCUUUCAAAAGAAUUCAAAAUACAGGGAUACCAUAAAAUCGUAAACAACUAAAAUCAAUUUACGUUUCGUCCCCUCAGAAGGAAACUGACAUAAGUCAAAAUUUAAUGUGUUUGAAAUGUAAACGAAAAUUAAUAUUCUUUUUAAAAUCAAUACAUUUAAAAAAUGUUCACUAUCGUUUGAAUGCCUCAACUAUUGUAUAACAUCCUCAACCAAAUCUCUCCAAAAAGCUUAAUUUUCGUAUUUCCACAAAAUGCUAGCUAUUUAAUAAUAUAAGCAACAAUAAUCUGCCUCUAUUUUCAAAAUGAUUUACGAAAACAAAAUCCACUUGAAGAAAAGUUCAACCGAAGAAUCAUUAUACCUAAUAAUAAAAUAAGUAUAAGCUUUGCAUAGGCGAGGCACUCAAAUACUCUUGUACCCGUUGAAAACGAGAAGAAUUUUUUUCAUUUUUGAAGUUCAGCAAGCAAGACGAGAAAAUUUAUAUUUUAGAGUGCACAAAUAACAAGAACAAGUGGAUACCAGGGCACCACAAUAAUUUUAAGAACAUUAUUCUAAGAGCUUGAUUUUCCUGGCUGCUAUUGAAAUGAAAAAAAAAAAAGAUGUCUACUUGUACAACAUGCAUAAACAAAAAACCCAGCACAGAGACCCACUCAUCAAGGUCAAGAUCAAAUUUAUU